AGAGUUUGAUCCUGGCUCAGGACGAACGCUGGCGGCGUGCUUCAUACAUGCAAGUCGAACGCGAAUCGGUAGCUUGCUACCGAGGAAAGUGGCGGACGGGUGAGUAAUGUGUAGAGAAUCUGCCCUAGAGCGGGGGACAACAACUGGAAACGGUUGCUAAUACCCCAUAUGAGCGUAUCUGAAAUGGUAUUCUUGAAAACUCCGGUGCUCUAGGAUGAGUCUGCAUCUGAUUAGCUAGUUGGGGGUGUAAUGGACCACCAAGGCGACGAUCAGUAGCUGGUUUGAGAGGAUGAUCAGCCACAAUGGGACUGAGACACGGCCCAUACUCCUACGGGAGGCAGCAGUAGGGAAUUUUGCGCAAUGGGCGAAAGCCUGACGCAGCAACGCCGCGUGAUUGAUAAAGCCCUUCGGGGUGUAAAGAUCUGUCAGUGGGGACGAAACUUGACGGUACCCACAGAGGAAGCACCGGCUAACUCCGUGCCAGCAGCCGCGGUAAUACGGAGGGUGCAAGCGUUGUCCGGAAUCAUUGGGCGUAAAGAGUUCGUAGGUGGCCUGUAAAGUCUGGUGUUAAAUGCAGAAGCUCAACUUCUGUUCGGCACUGGAUACUUGCAAGCUGGAAUGCGGUAGAGGUAAAGGGAAUUCCUGGUGUAGCGGUGAAAUGCGUAGAUAUCAGGAGGAACAUCGGUGGCGUAAGCGCUUUACUGGGCCGUAAUUGACACUGAGGAACGAAAGCCGGGGUAGCAAAUGGGAUUAGAUACCCCAGUAGUCCCGGCCGUAAACGAUGGAUACUAGGUGUUGCGGGUAUCGACCCCUGCAGUGCCGUAGCCAACGCGUUAAGUAUCCCGCCUGGGGAGUACGCACGCAAGUGUGAAACUCAAAGGAAUUGACGGGGACCCGCACAAGCGGUGGAACAUGUGGUUUAAUUCGAAGCAACGCGAAGAACCUUACCAGGGCUUGACAUCUGAGGAACUUUUGUGAAAGCAGAAGGUGCUCUUCGGAGAGCCUCAAGACAGGUGGUGCACGGUUGUCGUCAGCUCGUGUCGUGAGAUGUUGGGUUAAGUCCCGCAACGAGCGCAA
rnacentral:rRNA from 1 species